CUCUCAGCCAUCAUUUUUUAUGCGCCUAAAUUGGAUUUUAUAUCGGAGUGGAGGUGGAUGUGUACAACACCAAGAAGAAAGCGUUUCCGACCCUAUAUGGUAUAUAUAUUCUUGAUCAGCAUCAAUAGCCGAGUCGAUACUAUAAGAGGUAGAGAAACCAUUAGCUGGAAAGAGGUUACAAUAACUGCAAAUUUAGAACAACAAUUAGAACAUAACUAACAUAAAAAAAAGAAAAAUUAAAUCAAAAAUUUUUCGUUUUGCAGCACGUAUAGUAUGAACUUCGCAACAUUCUUCGCCGGAAUGAGGCAGAAAUGGCUGAAUCGCAUAUCAUGGUACAGCACUCGACAAAAUGGGGUGCCGCACAAUGCACCCUCCAUUCUCGCAGCUGUUGGCUCACGCACACACACAAAACUACAACAAAAAACAAUAUGCGAACAGGUGCACAGAAAGCAAAGAAAGAUGUCGUGCAGCUAGAGGGAAAAUUCGAUACGAAAUAACUGUAAACAAACAAAACGUCCCUUUGCUUGUUGUUUUUGGGGAGGUUCUGCUUAUGCGUAGAAUGUACAUACGCAUACAUACAUACAGAUGUACAUACCCAGCGGACCAAAAAACGAUAGUAAAACGAAACUUACAUAAAAUGUUCGCGAACGGACUAAGAAAUGAUACAAAUCCGAGAGCGAUGACUCAAGUCUCGCUAAAUGUUCGCAGACGGACUCUGCAAAGAGCAUUUAGCGGAUGAGAAUUUCCCAAACACCCAGCAGUCAUCUAUCUUAGGCAAAGUAAAUAAAUUGUAUAUAAAAAAUUGACCUUAUUUUAAAUAAAGUUCAUCACAAGACAGCGAAAAUUGUGGCUCUUCGCUUAGAAAUUUCAGAUACAAAGUCAAAGCUUUGUGAAACCCAUAUGAACCAUUCCAGACAAUCGACGAACGGGACAGCUUUGAACAGAGUUUGCUGGAAGAGAGGGACUUUAAAAAUGGGAUCUCAGAGCUUUAGAUGUCCAGCGAGGAAGCGUUCGACCAAAGGAUUCGUAGCUCUUGGCACCAUCUUUAUUGCGGACAAGGUCGCACGACAGUGUUCUUGGCGUGGCACAGAGGCCAGGAAGUGUAUUAGGGGCUUGGGCGUUGCCCUAGCAAUCCGUAGUAAAUAUUAUUUUAAAAUUGUGCACAAUCGCAAUUGUGAUAUCGCUUACGAAGUUUUUGUCCACUGGGUAGUAUGAAUUUGGAGGGGUGUGUGUGUGUUUGCAAAGGCUUUUUCGCCGUUAGCGGGGCUUACAGCAUCCAUCCCUUGCUUUCUAUGGAGCAGGAACGACGACCAACAUACCAUCGCAGUAUAUGUAUGUACAUGAGUGCUCCCUUCUCUCUCUCUCACCCUCUCCUGUGUAUUUCUCUCCCCAAAUAACAAUGAAAGUGCGAUUGCCUGCCAUAAAAAUGUCUAUUAAGCUGUCAAGUUUUGACACUCAUAAAACCAUCAAACAAGUCAAACGAACAGGUUCACAGCAAAAUGUGUACGUUGAACUGCUGUCAACAUUUUUCGGUUCAUCCUGGCGGCUUUCUGCCGCCUGCACACACAGAUGGAGGCACACUCACUUGGAGGCUGUGUGUCGUAGGCCGUUCAUAUUUUGUCCCGUCCCCAAAUGCUGGGAGACAUAUUUAUGGGAAGUAGCAGGAUAGGACACCCUGUGCGAACUGUUCGUCAGGAGAGAGCAGGACAGGAAGAUUGCUGAAGGGAGGAAGUCAUUAUACGAUUUUUAGUCCCAAACUUGUGAUGGCGUAAAGGGGCCCCGACAGGCCCCCAUCCUCAUCCUUAAUAAAUUCGCCGCCAUGUGGUUGCAAUUCUACUGCAUUGC